rnacentral:lncRNA from 1 species
GCACAGAGAGGGGAGGACCAUUGGAAGAAGGUCUUUGCAAGAUUUGGCCUCUACCCCCAACGCAGACCCGGGCACACAGACAGGAAUAUUUGAUGAAAUGCUUCUCUCGUGAUCUGGGUUUUCCCUAAGAGAAAUGCUAAAGGCGUUCUUCAGGCUGCCCUAAAUGGUAACUGGAAUCUACACAAAGAAAUAAAGCAUAUGCUAAAGGUAACCAUGUAAGUAAAUAGAAAAGACAGUAUCACUGUAUUUUGUGACUCUUUUUUUAAUAUAGGAUCUAAAAGAUGGCUGCAUAAAUCAAUACCAGUCAGUAUUCAUGGGCACACAAAUUUGUGGCAAUAACGACAUAAGGGAGGUGGAGCUAUAUAGGGGCAAAGAUUUUUGUAUACUGUUGAGAUUGUAUUAAUCCAAAAUAUACUGUUAUAAAUUAACAUGUUAGUUGUAAUCCCCAGAGCAACCACUAAGAAAAUAACUAAAAAAUAUACAGAAAAGGAAAUGAGAAGGAAGUCAAAAUGGUAUACUACCAAAAAAAAAAAAAUCAUCGAAACACAGAAAAAGGCAGUAAAGAAUGGUGGGGGAAAGAUAUGACAUUAGAAAACAAAUAGCAAAAUGUUAGAAGUCCUUCCUUAUUAGUAAUUAUAUUAAAUGCAAAUAAAUUAAACUCCAAUUAACAGGCAAAGAUUGGCAGAAUGGAUACUUUUUUCAAAAACAUGAUCCAAAUAUAUGCUGUCUACAAGAUAGUUCAUUUUAGAUUCAAAGACAUGAAUUAGUUGCAAAUAAAAAGAUAGAAAAGGCUAUUCUGUGCUAACAGUAGCUAAUUGAGACCUAGAGUGGGUCUCCAAAUAUCAGACAAAAAUAAGACAAAAAUUGUUAAGAUUAAAAAAGAGGAUAUUAUGUAAUGUUUUAAAAGGGUCAAUCCAGGAGUUCCCAUUGUGGCUCAGCAGUAAUGAACCCGACUAGUAUCCAUGAGGAUGUGGGUUCAAUCCCUGGCCUUACUUAGUGGAUUAAGGAUCUGGUGUUACCAUGAACUGUGGUGUAGGUCACAGAUGCAGCUCAGAUCCCACAUUGCUGUGGCUGUGGUAUAGGCCAGCAGCUGCAGCUCCGAUUAGACUCCUAGCCUGGGAACUUCUAUAUGCCACAGGUGCGGCCCUAAAAAGAAAAAAAAAGGGUCAAUCCACAUAGAAAACAACUUAUGGUUACCAAAGAGGAAAGGCAGUGGUGAGGAAGGAUAAAUUAGGAGUAUGGGAUUAACAGAUACUCACUACCAUACAUAAAAUAAACAACAAUGAUUUACUGUAUAACACAGGGAACUAUAUCCAAUAUCUUAUAAUAACCUAAAAUGGAAAAGAAUAUGAAAAAAAAAACUGAAUCGCUUUGCUGUAUACUUGAAAUUAAUAUAACAGUUUAAAUCAACUACAAUAAAUGUUUAAAUUUUUGAAGGAUUAAUCCAUCAAGAUAUUUCAAUUACAAAAAUAUGUUUAACUUAUAUAUGCACCUAACAACAGACACCCAAAAUACAUGCCAAAAGUAGACAGAAUUGAGUGGAUAUAGAGAUAGUCCUACAGUAAUAUUUGAAGACGUCAACACUCCAUUUUCAAUAAUUGAUAGAAAGACUUGAUAAAAGAUCAAGAAGGAAAUACAAGACUUGAGCAACACUACAAACCAAAUAGACCUAACAAACAUCAUUAGAACAGUCAACUCCAAAAUAGCAUACUACAUAUUCUUCUCAAAUACACAUAAAAGUUUUACAGGAUAAACUAUUUGUUCAGCCAGAAAACAAUUCUCAAUAAAUUUACAAAGAUUGAAAUCAUACUAAGUAUGUCCUCUGACCACAAUGGAAUGAAAUUGGAAAUCAGAAAUAGAAGGAAAUUUGCAAAAUAUACAAAUAUGUGAAAAUUAAAUAACACUACCAAAUAACCAUUGGGUCAAAGAAAAAAAUCAGAAGGGAAAUUAGAAAAUAUGUCGCAAUUAAUGAGAGCAAAAAUACAUUACCAAAACUAAUAGGAUUCAGUGAAAACAGUGGUCAGGGAAAUUUAUAGUUAAAAAUGCCUACAUUUAAAAAAAGAAACAAAACAAAUUAAUAACCUAACUAGUGCAUCUUAAGGAAUUAGAAAAAGGAGAGAAAAUUAAGGCAAGCAGAAAAAAA